rnacentral:rRNA from 1 species
GAUGAACGCUGGCGGCGUGCUUAACACAUGCAAGUCGAACGGAAAGACCCGGCGUUUGCGGGUUUCUCGUUAGCGGCACGCGUGUGUAUCACGUGUGUAACAUGCCCUUAACUUUCGGAUAUAUUCAGGAAACUGCGGCUAUUACCGGGUAGAAGCUCCUGAUGCGUAGGGUGGAAUGGAAAAUGUCGGCGGUUGGGGAUGGUCUCGCGGCUUAUCAGCUUGUUGGGCGGGUAGUUGCUUACCAAGGCUGUGAAGGCUAGGCGGCCUGAGAGGGUGAACGGCGACAUUGGGACUGAGAUACGGCGCAGACUCCUACGGGAGGCAGCAGUGGGGAGUAUUGCACAAUGGGCGGAAGCCUGAUGCAGCAACGCCGCGUGCGGGAUGACGGCCUUCGGGGUGUAAACCGCUUUCGCCUGUGACGAAGCGGGAGUGACGGUAAUGGGUAAAGAAGCACCGGCUAACUACGUG